ACGUAGGGGGCAAGCGUUGUCCGGAAUGAUUGGGCGUAAAGGGCGCGUAGGCGGCCUGGUAAGUCUGGAGUGAAAGUCCUGCUUUUAAGGUGGGAAUUGCUUUGGAUACUGCUGGGCUUGAGUGCAGGAGAGGUAAGUGGAAUUCCCGGUGUAGCGGUGAAAUGCGUAGAGAUGGGGAGGAACAGCAAUGGCGAAGGCGACAAACUGGACUGAAACUGAGGCUGAUGCGCCAAAGUGUGUGCAGCAAACAG
rnacentral:rRNA from 1 species